rnacentral:tRNA from 1 species
GGAGAGAUGGGUGAGCGGUUUAAACCGGCAGUCUUGAAAACUGUUGAACCGUAAAGGUUCCGGGGGUUCGAAUCCCUCUCUCUCCG